AAUAGAUACCCAGGUAGUCCUAGCUGUAAACGAUGGAUACUUGGUGUGGCAAUUUUACUUUUGCCGUGCCGGAGCUAACGUGAUAAGUAUCCCGCCUGGGGAGUACGACCGCAAGGUUGAAACUUAAAGGAAUUGACGGGGACCCGCACAAGCGGUGGAGCAUGUGGUUUAAUUCGAUAGUACACGAGGAACCUUACCAGGUCUUGACAUUUAUGCGAAUUCUUUAGAAAUAGAGAAGUGCCGCAAGGAGCGCAUAAACAGGUGGUGCAUGGCUGUCGUCAGCUCGUGCCGUGAGGUGUUGGAUUAAGUUCCGCAACGAGCGCAACCCCCGCAUUUAGUUAAUUUUCUAAAUGGACAGCCUGCGAAAGCAGGAGGAAGGUGGGGAUGAGGUCAAGUCUUCACGCCCCUUAUUGACCUGGGCUACACACAUGCUACAAUGGGAAGUCAAAGGGUUGCAAAACAGUAAUGUGGAGCGAAUCCCAGAAAACUUCUCGUAGUUCGGAAUGCAGUCUGAAACUCGACUGCAUAAAGAUGG
rnacentral:rRNA from 1 species